rnacentral:tRNA from 1 species
GUGGGUAUAGCUCAGCGGUAGAGCACAUGCUUAGUGUGCACAAGGUCCUGGGUUCAAUUUCCAGUACCUCUG